AACGACUCUCGGCAACGGAUAUCUCGGCUCUCGCAUCGAUGAAGAACGUAGCGAAAUGCGAUACUUGGUGUGAAUUGCAGAAUCCCGUGAACCAUCGAGUCUUUGAACGCAAGUUGCGCCCGAAGCCAUCAGGCCGAGGGCACGUCUGGCUGGGUGUCACASAAAG
rnacentral:rRNA from 1 species